GAGGCCAGAGUGUAUCCCGGGGCAACCGAACAGGACAAAGGGAGAUAGUUGGGAGAGAGAGGAGCAAGCCAAACCUUUACUGACCAACAGAGAACAACUGUCUACAACCUUGUCUUGUAACUGAAAGUGUUUAGAGAGGAGAGAGUGAGGGGGCACAAACCACUGCUGACCAGAGUGAUGAGCUUGGCCUGGGACAUGGGCUGUGGGAUGUCUCGUCCUCUGGGCCUGGCUGGAGGGGGCACGGUUCAGGGUCUGCUGGACUCAGAGAGGAGACGUCGGGCCCUGGAGCUCAGCUUGGCCAAAGCCAACCGGGCCCUGCGGGACCAGAACCUUCGGAUGAUGCAGCCGCAGACUCCACACACCAGCCCAGAAGACUGGACCUCACAGCACCAGAUGUGGGCCCUGAAAAUCAGAGAGUUCAAAGGCACCAAGAGCAAUGGUUUUUCAUCAGGCGUCUGUAAUGCCGUACUGUACGGCGACCUGUGUGAAAGAAUUGGGAGACUGCGGUCAGAGCUGGAUGUCCUCAGUCAAAAAGUAGACCAGGUGUGCCAAACCGCUGGUGGGUGCCGACACUGGGGCGUACAUUGGCCUGCCCCAGACCGUCUGCUUCCUGUCCCGGAAGGGCAACUUCCUGUUCCGGACUGGACACUUCCUGUAGGCCACCCUGGACCUAAGCUUCCCGCUGCUUCCCACAUCGCUCUGGCCAUGGAUCGCAGCCAGCUUCAGAGAGAGAGAGGUGGCCUCGAGCGUCUGGUCCAGGAUGCGUGGGCCCGUCUGGGGGUGCUGGAGAGGGACAGGGAGGUUCUGGAGUCCCAGGUGACGGGGCUCCACUCCGAGCUGUUCCAGACGCGCUCGCGGGAGCAGGAGCUCCAGAGGAACGGCAUUUCGGCCCGGGCGGAGCUCACGGGCAGCCGGCAGCUGAAUGACAGCUUGCUGCAGGAGACGGUGGUGCUAAGGCAGAGGCUGGCGUCCUCCGAGGCGCGGGUGGCGCUGAUGGAGAGCGAGAGGCGUGUCCUGGCUGCCCGGCUUGUUGCCCUGGAGACAGAGCGGGAGCAGCUGCUUUCCCAGAAGGCCCUGUUGGUGCGGAGGCUGUGGCGAGAUCCCAGGGCCAGGCAUGGCCCACCAGGAGUGCCUGGGGGAGACCUGGAAACUGGUGUGGAAGGUAGUGGCAGAGAGGAGAUGGUGGAGGUGGUGGAGGAGGAGAAGGGAUGGGAGGUGACGAAGACCCGGGUAGUGAGUCCACAGCGCCCAGGCAACCAGGAAAUCCCAGAAUCCCUUUCACCUGUCCCAGCACGGCCACUUUCCUCAAAAGCGGAAACUGGAAAUCAGACAGAGGAUGUGUUGCAGCUCUCUGAAGACCCAGAGAAAGGUCUGGAGGACACAGACUUUCAGCCGCUCAAACUCCAAGUGUCCCCGGAGGUACAUGAACGCGAGUCCAUAGAAUAUGCUGACUGGGGAGAAGUGGGCGGAGCACCGAGGAACCAGAAAGACUUUCUUUCAGAAAUGGAACACAUGCGGACGGGUGAAGCCAUCGGGCCUGCUACGCAUGUCUCAGGGACAUCCCGAGAAGACCACGAUGUUCCACAGGGGCGGAGCAGCUGGCUCCACGGGGGUGAGGAGGAGACGGCAGCUUCCAAAAAGUGCAAUCAGUGGGAUCUAUGGAAAGAUGACCCGCUCUCAGCCAAUCAGGUGAGCCUACUGUCACCCCAACGUUCUCCCCACAGGCCUCUGCAAACUUCCAACCAAUCGGCAAGUCCACAGCCAUCAUGUGAUUUGAAAGGUUAGUUCUGCCUCUCCGCCCCCAGCAAUCUGCAGACAGACAUCAUCAAUCUCUUUGCCAAUCACAAAGCUUUCCACCAUGUCCACCAAACUGGACCAGUAUGGUGGAAACCUGCAGGUUCCAGACAGUGGGCUGACAGAUUCGCCGGUGGAACUGGUGUCCUGGAGAACCAUUCAUUUAAAACCUGGUCCAAUGUUCCCUGAAAAUAAUGAGUAAUUUCCUUCUCUGAAAAGAUUUAAAAACAUGUUGUGGCUAUAUCUUGGCCUUUAUUGACGCAUGUCAGUGCAUUGGCACAUUUUUUUUUCACAUAUAUUUUCCAGUUAGAAAACGACAUACACUCAGGAUUUCCACAUGCUUGCAUUGUGUGCUCAUUCUUUUCUGGUGUGCAUGGGAUUAUCCAAUCAGGACUUUUGUCCUAGAUUUUGGAUUUUGGAAAAAAUCAACAUUCCGCAAAGUAGCAUUCCAAGAUUUCAGUUUUUUUUUUCUCGGUUGAAAAGUUGAAAAGUUAUUACAAAUGACGUGUAAAGAAACUGAGGCAUAUUGAACUUAUGCCUGGUACUUUCCUUGCCUUCUCACUAACAAUACCCAGAUAAUGUUCCCCCCACAGACUAUCUGUUUCUCCUUCAUUGACACCCAUUCUUCUAGGAUGUGUGUUUAAAGGCUUUCCAAAGGUGAAUGGCACCAGAAGAACAGCAGAGAAAUUUAUCCGACAGUUACGGAACUCGCUGUGAACAAAUAUCUUCACUGGAAGGGGCGUUCCCUCUCUGAAAUAUCGGGAAGGGAAGGGGGGGCGGACUGUUGGGGAGGGUAUCAUUUCAGUUCAUGUUGAGUUCAGCAAGAAGUACAAAAGAUGAUAACUUGCACUUUGAUAACCCCACCCUGCCACCCCCAGCCCCCUCCAUAGGAUUAAAACUGCUUUGUUUGUGGACAUAGCGGACACAAGAAACGGUUAGCACGCCAGUCAAGUCUGCGCACAGGAGGUUAAAUUUGGACUAGGUUUUGACCCUCUGGGAUACGCAGAAGGUCAAAAGGGCCUGAAACCCUGUUCGAUUUACCUCUGUGCGCAAAUAAAUCCAUAACCCACUUGGGAACACUGAGAGUGCAGUGUGUGGACUCACGCCCCCCUCCCCCCUUUGUUCCGCACCUACAACUUGAGGAACAUAAGAGUGAUUAUUUAUUGUUGUGCGCUGAAGGCAUUCUGUGUUUCCUCCAUGUGUAAUGGCCACCUUUAGGAGUGAGGCAUUCCAGGAUAUGUCAUGCCGUAGUGUUGUUUGCCUUGUAGCCAUAAACUAAAAAUGGCUCCUUGUCUCGCCCGCGGUCAUAAAAAUGCUGCCGUUAUCAACACCCUGCAGUAAAAAAGGAAGGAAUGCGCAGGUAAGGUGACCUGCCGCUCUCACACCCCUUUUGAGCCUUGAGAAACUUUCCUUUUCACUGCAUUAAUCUAAGUGUUUGAUUACGCUUCUGGAACAAUGGCUCGCAAGUAUAAAAACUGGAAGGACUGGCUUUACAAGAGUUAAUAGCUAAAAGGCUGCUGCAGAGAGAGCUGGGGGCUGGCUAUGCUGUUAUACAGCUAGAGCUCUUAAAGAAACAAAUCUGAACUGGAGUCCAGAAGUCCCCUGAGAGUCCCCAGUCCUCACAAUGUAAAAAAGGAAAAUAUCACUGCACUGGUCAUUGAAUUGCAGCAAUUGAGGCGAGCCAGUGAGGCAUCAUGGGAGGUCUCUGACCUCGCCCAUCCCGGUGACCCGCAGGCCAGGGAUUGGCUGGAGAGAGUCGGGCUGCUGAAGG